UUCUUCUCUAGCAUAAACAUCUGGAUACUGUGCACGUUGAAAAGCAGCCUCGAGUUGUUCAAGUUGUUCUCCAGUGAACGUUGUUCUACUUCUACGUUGUUUUCGUUUCAGAGGUGUAUGUGUGCCACAGUCAUCAAGGUAUCCAUAAAGUUCUCGUAAAAUAAACGUCCAACAUGCCAUUUUGUUCGACGUCGUCAAGACGCCAUUUUGUCGAGUGUUUCAAAGCUAUCAGCAGACUAUUGAUUCUUACGUGUGGAGAUCUAAACAAGUGGAUAAGGAGGGUCUGAUCUUUGAGCAAGGACUUAGCCUGUACCGUAGCUAACGUUGAAUCCUUCCUGAGCCUAUCAAGAACCUUUUAACAUCGGCUUGGGUUUGCGAAUUCGCACUGAUCAAUGUAUUGAUGUUUAUUUGUGCGAUGAGCAGCUCGUGCAUUCUUUUUCUUUUCUUUUUUA